rnacentral:rRNA from 1 species
UGCGUAGGCGGACUAAUAAGUCAGUGGUGAAAUCUUUCUGCUCAACCGAGAAACUGCCAUUGAUACUGUUAGUCUUGAGUUCGGUUGAGGUAGGCGGAAUGUGUAAUGUAGCGGUGAAAUGCUUAGAUAUUACACAGAACACCAAUUGCGUAGGCAGCUUACUAGACCGACACUGACGCUGAGGCACGAAAGCGUGGGGAGCGAACAGGAUUAGAUACCCUGGUAGUCC